GGGGGGGGGGGGGGGGGGGGGGGGGGGGUCCCGGAGAGCAUCCCUGGGUGCGGGCAGCGGACACCCCCAAAAAAUCCAGCAUCUGUUCCUGGCCGCUCGGGACGCCGCUGCGCGGUGCCCCCCGCCCGAGCUGUCCGACCGUGCUCUUUACCUCCUGUCAGUCAGGGUGAACUUGCUCGCCUUGUUUGUGCUUCGGCGGGUCGGUUUUGACUUACCCCUGUGGUAUGUGGAAGCGCCGACUCCAAUAAACCCUUAACUCUUUCCCGUGCUGGCAUCAGGCUAGGCUUUGCCCGGUCCGGCUCCGCGCCCAUUUAAGGAAAAGCCGGCCCCGGGCUUGCCCGGUGCGAUGCACGCGUGGAGCCGCAGCCCCUCCGGGAGCGGCACCGACCCCGCGGCUGGGACAUGGCGCGGGGGCGCGGGGGCAGUGAUGUCCGCCCGCCUCAGGGCCGCCGUUGUCCCGCCGCCCGCUGCCGUCUCGUCCCGGUUCCUCUCCGCGGAGCCCGCUCCAUCCUCCGGCCCGUCUCGGUCCCCUGCUCCAGCCGCUCUCCAGCCGCUGGGCUUCGCACCUUCCCUGCCGCCGCGCCGCACCUGAGCCCGCCACCACCUCCCGCAGCUGCUUCGCUGGCGGGAUGUUCGGAGAGAAUCCGAGCGCCGGUUUUCCACCGGAGGGUGAUUCCCGGCGCUUUCCCCGACGAUGCCGUUUUGAUCGUCGUCCCUUCGCACCGUGCCAGCGGGAUUGCGCCCGGAUUAAGUCAACUCAGGGGAAGGGAAGAGCAUGGUUCAUACGUUCCCGGCCGCAGCCAUGGGCAGGGUGGCAUCACCCUGGCAGUGCUCAGUGCUGGAUGUGUCUGAACACCGAGCUGAGGACUAGGAUAGAGCCAACAGGCCAUGCUGUGGUCAGUGACAGACUGUCAGUCACUGUCAGGCUGUGCAGACAGGAGGGAAUCCACACUCACAUCACCUAAGGUCAGCCCCCAGAUGGAGACAGCCAGGCCGGAAUGCUGACCAGGUCGAACCUCCUCUCUGGAAGUGUCUCCUCCUACCCUUAGAUUAUGCUAAAAUGCCACCACAUUUGGAAUGCUGAAUUGGGUGAACUAUUGGGUGGCCUAAAAUGAGACCAGGUGAAUAUCCAUUUUAAAUGCUUAAUCUCAGUCUUUCCUUGCCCUCUCAGCAUCCCAGCAUCCCAGCAUCCCAGCAUCCCAGCAUCCCAGCCCAGAUGCAGACACUGAGUGCCCAAUUUAUAUGACUACACUCAGGAAGUAGUUCCACCUCUGCACUGAGGAUGCACAAUUAGAAAUAAGAGAUGCAGUAAGUCCAAAAUAAUAGAUGUUUUAUUAUCAGUGUGCAAGGCUGCAUUUUAAG
rnacentral:lncRNA from 1 species